UACGGAGGGAGCUAGCGUUGUUCGGAAUUACUGGGCGUAAAGCGCGCGUAGGCGGCUACUCAAGUCAGGGGUGAAAGCCCGGGGCUCAACCCCGGAACUGCCCUUGAAACUAGGUAGCUAGAAUCUUGGAGAGGUCAGUGGAAUUCCGAGUGUAGAGGUGAAAUUCGUAGAUAUUCGGAAGAACACCAGUGGCGAAGGCGACUGACUGGACAAGUAUUGACGCUGAGGUGCGAAAGCGUGGGGAGCAAACAGG
rnacentral:rRNA from 1 species